rnacentral:lncRNA from 1 species
GUCUUAAGUAAGUUCCCAGAAGCGACUGUAGUUCCUUCGCAUAAUCUCGUUCUGUUUCCAGAAUAUUUUGCAACACCACAGGGUAAUAAUUCUUUGUCAGCUGAGUGCUUUCAAGUCCUUUUAAUGCUUUGGGAGAGAGUGGUUUAUCGGUGGAUUUGAUUUCUCUGACGUAGUUGCUUGGGAACCAGCCUGUUUUUCCAUUCAAGGUCCCUUCCCACCAGCCCCCUUCCUCAACCCGGGUGACAUAAAUAAUGUCUCCUUUGUUAACGGAGAGUUCAUCCUCAUUGGUCUGCUUAAAGUUGAAC